CAACAGAGUCCAACAAUAGAAAUCAAAUAACGCAAAAGAUGAAAAGACUUUCUGUGCUGGAAGAGUGACUUUGUGAAAAUUGAGCAUUCUGCAGCAUAAAGGUUCACACAGGCCUGGUCACCCUCAGUGAAGGAGGGGAUGAAAAUUGUUUAAAAAAGUGAGUCUGAUAUGGCAGAAGGACCAAAGAGGCCAUCUUUAGGAGAGGAGGAGCAGUGUCGAGUGGAACAGUCAUCCUUCGACUGAUACUGAUUCGAAUGAUACAUUUGAGUUCAUCACAUCUCAGAUACAUUACAUCAUCAGAUCGACACGUUUCUCCUGCUGUCAUAAAGAGAUGCAGAUGUCAGAGACCUCCUGUGAAACCAACACAGAAGGGAAACAGCGCCAU
rnacentral:lncRNA from 1 species